ensembl:lncRNA
UAUGGUCGGAACGUCUGGUAGCGUCUUUGGCUGCUGUUGACCUGGUUUUUGGAGUAAAACACGGUGGAAGCUGAAUUAGUGAGGAUGAUUCCUGCUCCUGUCAUCUCUAAGCUCCUCACACAUCUUUACCUGCACAUGAGGAAAAUCACUCCUGUAGAAUGCAGAUGCACAAUGAGGGACGUCUGCAGAGACUGAGAAAGAGUCUCACCACAUCCUGACAUGAGGAAAAAGACUUUAUUGAAGACUACAAUGAGAAAAACUAUCAGACAGCAGACGGCUGCAUUCAAGGCUACAGGAGGAGUCCUACAAGGACGAGCCGGUCCACCUGAUGGCGGCCAGUCGCUGCGGUUCAAAGCCAACACCGACUACGUGGACUUCUACUGGACCACAUGGAGGCCUUCAAACCGGACCAACAAGUUCAGCGACUCCCCGACUCGUGGGUCUGAGGACGCCGCCGAGCCUCGGUCCAGCCGGCCUCCUGUCUGUGGGUGUUUGAGUGCUGAGAGGUUUGUGGAUGCAUGUGAACAUUCUGUGUUGAAACAGCAGCUUUGGACUCAGUAACGCCGGA